UACGAAGGGGGCUAGCGUUGCUCGGAAUGACUGGGCGUAAAGGGCGCGUAGGCGGCUCAUACAGUCAGAUGUGAAAUUCCUGGGCUUAACCUGGGGGCUGCAUUUGAUACGUGUGGGCUUGAGUGGGGAAGAGGGUCGUGGAAUUCCCAGUGUAGAGGUGAAAUGCGUAGAUAUCGAGAGGAACACCUGCGGCGAAGGCGGGUUGCUGGGCUGACACUGACGCUGAGGCGCGAAAGCUAGGGGAGCGAACGGG
rnacentral:rRNA from 1 species